GCUGCUUCCUGAGAAACUAUUUACUGGAUGAGCUGAUCUACGAGAACAAUGUCACGUAUGAUCUUUCUGAAGCAAUAUCCGCAAUCAGCGAUUUGUCACUUUUUGAUUUCAAUAACCUUCCGGACGGCUGAUCAGAAGAAAUGUUCAAAACUAUAAACGAACGUACCGUGACGUGUAAAGAACACAUUCGCUUGCGCAGUCCUACAAAUGAUAUGUUUAUCCGGAAGAUUGUUCAUCAAAAUUUACAGGAAAGAUGCACGCACAUACGGAUUGAUCUAUGCAUGGAAUUGUGAUAGAAAUAGUUUCAUGAGUAUGGUGCUCCAAUGGCUCGGGCUUCAAGGAACUGUAACCGAGCUCUAUACUAAACAGA